rnacentral:rRNA from 1 species
GCCGUCAGCUAGCUCUCUGUAACUCUUACAUGGUCGCCACUGAAGCUUAGCAGGGCUGCCCCCGGUCAGUACCUGGAUGGGAGACCUCAUGGGAAAGCUAGGUUGCUGCUGGAA